GACGAACGCUGGCGGCGUGCCUAAUACAUGCAAGUAGAACGCUGAAGGAGGAGCUUGCUCUUCUGGAUGAGUUGCGAACGGGUGAGUAACGCGUAGGUAACCUGCCUGGUAGCGGGGGAUAACUAUUGGAAACGAUAGCUAAUACCGCAUAAGAGUAGAUGUUGCAUGACAUUUGCUUAAAAGGUGCAAUUGCAUCACUACCAGAUGGACCUGCGUUGUAUUAGCUAGUUGGUGGGGUAACGGCUCACCAAGGCGACGAUACAUAGCCGACCUGAGAGGGUGAUCGGCCACACUGGGACUGAGACACGGCCCAGACUCCUACGGGAGGCAGCAGUAGGGAAUCUUCGGCAAUGGACGGAAGUCUGACCGAGCAACGCCGCGUGAGUGAAGAAGGUUUUCGGAUCGGAAAGCUCUGUUGUAAGAGAAGAACGAGUGUGAGAGUGGAAAGUUCACACUGUGACGGUAUCUUACCAGAAAGAGACGGCUAACUACGUG
rnacentral:rRNA from 1 species